UUUUCACUCUUUCUCAUCUUCUUCCUAUCCACAUCAAAACACACACUUACAUCAUCUUCUCCACUCUCUUUUUCUCUCAUCUCUACAAAACAUAAAUUUCAAACCAUUUACCUAAAAAAAAAGCUUCAACGAACUUCCAUCCUUAAACUUCACCAUAAAAUCAUCUUCAUCUUCACAUAACUCAUAACCUUGACCAUAACACCAUAAACAUAAAACAACCGUAUCAUGAAACUCCUUCUCUAAAACUCUUAAACUCACACUUCAACAAACAUUGAAACCACCCUCCAACAACACCUAUCACCUUCAACCUCCAUCUUAUUCCUCACAUAAAACCAUUGUGAAACUCCAACGUCUUCUGUCGGAAAACUAGCUGCUACAGCUCCGCAUCACCGCCGCAAUACUUCCCGCCGCCGUUUGAAGGAAAUGGUGGCAUAAAGCGCAUGAUUUGGAAGGAGAAAAGGGAACUUUUUUUUCUUUCAGUUGGCUUUCACACGAGUUGAGAGAGGAGGAGUUUUAUUCCUUAAUAGAAGAUUAGUUAUUUGUUUAAUUUUGAAAAAGUCAAAUUUUUCCUCUCUCCUUGCAUUAAUCCCACAGUCAUUUUUUUUGCUGUUA